GUGGGGAAUAUUGGACAAUGGGCGAAAGCCUGAUCCAGCCAUGCCGCGUGUGUGAAGAAGGUCUUCGGAUUGUAAAGCACUUUAAGUUGGGAGGAAGGGUAGUAACCUAAUACGUUGCUACUUUGACGUUACCGACAGAAUAAGCACCGGCUAACUUCGUGCCAGCAGCCGCGGUAAUACGAAGGGUGCAAGCGUUAAUCGGAAUUACUGGGCGUAAAGCGCGCGUAGGUGGUUCAGGAAGUUGGAAGUGAAAUCCCCGGGCUCAACCUGGUAACUGCUUUCAAAACUGCUGAGCUAGAGUACGGUAGAGGGUGGUGGAAUUUCCUGUGUAGCGGUGAAAUGCGUAGAUAUAGGAAGGAACACCAGUGGCGAAGGCGACCACCUGGACUGAUACUGACACUGAGGUGCGAAAGCGUGGGGAGCAAACAGGAUUAGAAACCCGGGUAGUCC
rnacentral:rRNA from 1 species